GUUGGCCUGGUGGUUAAAGCGUCCGCCUCAACUGCGGGAGGUUGUGGGUUCGAUCCCCGGUCAAGUCA